CGUGGGUAACCUGCCCAAGAGACUGGGAUAACACCUGGAAACAGAUGCUAAUACCGGAUAACAACACUAGACGCAUGUCUAGAGUUUAAAAGAUGGUUCUGCUAUCACUCUUGGAUGGACCUGCGGUGCAUUAGCUAGUUGGUAAGGUAACGGCUUACCAAGGCAAUGAUGCAUAGCCGAGUUGAGAGACUGAUCGGCCACAUUGGGACUGAGACACGGUCCAAACUCCUACGGGAGGCAGCAGUA
rnacentral:rRNA from 1 species